UACAGAGGGUGCGAGCGUUGUCCGGAAUCACUGGGCGUAAAGGGCGCGUAGGCGGCCUGCUAAGUAGCGGGUGAAAUCCUGCGGCUCAACCGCAGGGCUGCCUUCUAAACUGUCAGGCUGGAGCACGGUAGAGGCAGAUGGAAUUCCCGGUGUAGCGGUGGAAUGCGUAGAGAUCGGGAAGAACACCAGUGGCGAAGGCGGUCUGCUGGGCCGUUGCUGACGCUGAGGCGCGACAGCGUGGGGAGCAAACAGG
rnacentral:rRNA from 1 species